AAACUUUCAACAACGGAUCUCUUGGUUCUGGCAUCGAUGAAGAACGCAGCGAAAUGCGAUAAGUAAUGUGAAUUGCAGAAUCCGGUGAAUCAUCGAAUCUUUGAACGCACAUUGCGCCCUGUGGUAUUCCGCAGGGCAUGCCUGUUCGAGCGUCAUUU
rnacentral:rRNA from 1 species